GUCUGGGUGGCUCAGUUGGUUGAGUGUCCAACUUCAGCUUGGGUCAUAUUUCAUGGUUUGUGGGUUCAAACCCCACAUUGGGCU
rnacentral:tRNA from 1 species